CAGGAGGCUGAGAGUUGUGCCAAAAGACUGAUGGGUCCCUUGCACCUCAGGAGACCCACUGUGGAGCUGAAGGAGUUGAGUGGUAGAUGAAGAUGCCCUUCCCCGAGCCCUGUGGAGACCAGGCGGUGACAACGUGAGGGCUGCGGGCCCCGGUGCGGCCAGCUCUGAUGUGUGAUGGCAGAGCACCACAUUCUGGGAUACCUUCAGGGAGCCGUGGCCAUACAGCCAGGAGGACCGCCUGGAGCUGGGAAUGAGCCCCAUGCAGGACCUGCUGCUCUCUUUCACUGCUGGACGUGGGAAUGCCUUCCUGCCCAAAGCCAAUGGCCCAGGGGCUGUGCUUCACAUCUCAGAGGCAGGCACGCCAGCCUGCAGCAACAGCCAGAUGUGGGCAUAUUCUUGUCAAAGGAGGCAUCUGCCAGGAGGCCAGGUAACACUAGUGUGUGGAGAGUGAGUAAGAGCGAGAAAGCAUGUGAGAGCCAGAGAGCGAGCACCAGAGGCAACGUCAGCCUGGAUUUGGGUUUGAUGGUGUGGGUUUGAUUGUGCGCUCCUACCAACCCUACCAUAGCAUAGUGCUUUCAUACUGCAGCUCACAGGAGAGUGGUGUUCCCAUCCCAGUCUCGGGACUCCAGGGACCUCAGCAUCCAGGAAAAAUCUUUUUUCCCAUUCCCCAUAUGGGGGCAUUACCCAGCUGGUCCCCACUUGGUCCUGCCUGGCCCCCUGUGCACAGGGCCUACUUGUUAAGCUCCUUGGCACUGCAUCAUCACUACAUGGCCCCUCUACAUGGCCAUCACUACUGGCCUCUCCUCUUCUAGGGCCUUCUCUAAAUCCCUUGGAAAUCAAAGGCAAGACCCAACCCCAUGGAUUCAGUGAUCUGUAGAUCAGCUGCUACGGUAAGAAACGGGGUGUGUUGUACAGAUCAAAAUACUAAGCUCUGCAGUUGCAGGCUGGGGCAGCUACAAAAGUACUUAAACCAGUGUCUGAACCCUCCAGUGCAGCUGGGAAUGAAUGAACGAGCACGCAGCAACCUGGUGCCAGCCCCAUCCUGUGCACUAUGAAGGCUCCUUCAUGACCUGUGCUCUUGCAAACAGCUUCAGCAAGCUCUGUAACUAGUUACACAUGGUGUACAUGUGUAACAUUACACCAUCUAGUAACCCCAGAUGGUGCCCGGGGGAACAGGGCCUCCCCCAAUUCUCGCUGGUCCCCCCUGGUGA